CUCCAGGAACACCCUCCUCUUGUUUCGUUUAUCAGGCAUCCAGCCAAGUCCCCUCCUGUUCCCUGUUUAAGAGGUGAUGACAGCUCCACUCCACUACCAUUGUCAACUCUCUCCUGACAUCAAAUGAAGCCAUGUCUCAUGUGCCCUCUCAUCCACAGGCAAAUUGAAUGUUUCCCUCCAAGCACUUCAAAUCCUGUCCUGCACUGGUCAAGCCUCUGAACACCUCAACUCAUGCCUCAUAUCCUCAUUCAAUCACUGCUGUGAUCCCUAUCCCACACGGUGUAAUUAGCCCUCUCACUCCCAUACCCCAUAAUAUUGUACUAUAAAUGUCUUUAUUAAAUGCUUUAGGUUAAAAUAAUUAGUCUUUGACGAUUUCUGAAACACAAUUUUUCCUCUUUGUGCGUUAUUCACCUAUACCGUGAGUCUCCCGUCCUCCUCAAUUUUUCAAGUCACCAGCCUCCACUGUCGCGGACUACAGGAAAAGGCGGGCCGAACAGGCCCCCGUUAACAUUGACGGGGCUGUAGUGGAGCAGGUCGAGAGUUUCAAGUUCCUUGGUGAUCACAUCACCAACGAACCAUCAUGAACACACCAAGACAGUUGUGAAGAGGGCAUGACAAAGCCUAUGUCCCCUCAGGAGACUCAAAAGAUUUGGCAUGGGUCCACAGAUCCUCAAAACAUUCUGCAGCUGCACCAUCGAGAGCAUCCUGACCGGUUGCAUCACCGCCUGGUAUGGUAACUGCUCGGCAUCUGACAACAAGGCGCUACAGAGGUAGUACGUAUGGCCCAGUACAUCACUGGGGCCAAGCUUCCUGCCAUGCAGGACCUAUGUACUAGGCAGUGUCAGAGGAAAGCCCAAAAAAUUGUCAAAGACUCCAGUCACCCAGGUCAUAGACUGUUUUCUCUGCUACCGCACGGCAAGCGCCAAGUCUAGAACCAAAAGGCUUCUCAACAGCUUCUACCCCCAAGCCAGAAAACUGCUAAACAAUUAAUCAGAUGGUCACCGGAUUAUUUACAUUGACACCCCCUCCCCCACCCCAUUUGAUUUUUACACUGCUGCUACUAGCUGUUUAUUAUCUAUGCAGUCACUUCACCCAUACCUACAUGUACAAAUUACCUCAACUAACCUGUACUUCCGCACAUUGACUCUGUACCGGUACCCCCUAUAUAUACUGUAGCCUCACUAUUGUUAUUUUGUGUUACAUUUUAUUAUUUUACUAUUACAUUUUAUUACAUUUCCAAUAUUUCUUAACUCUGUCUUGAACUGCACUGUUGGUUAAGGGCUUGUAAGUAAGCAUUUCACGGUAAGGUCUACACUUAUUGUA